UGUUCGGCCUCACCAAGGAAAAGAGGAAAGAAAGAAAGAACAAAACCCUAGUUAGAAAAUUCAAGGGAAAAUUGUGGAAUUUCAAGGAAUCAAGUGACAAAAGGUGGUGAAACUUUCGAUAAGGGUAAGGAGAUUGUACUCGAAGACCAAGACUAGGAGUACUUCGACUCUUGAUAUUGAUAGUCUAUAGAUAGCUAAUUUCGUCGAGGGCUACAGUUGGAUUUGCAUCCUCAAAAAUUGGGAGGUGAGAAAACUGAUAUUAAAGCUUUGCGGGG
rnacentral:sRNA from 1 species